CAUACAUAAGAUUAUUGUAUGAACUGUAUAUGUACUUUUUAUCUGCUCACAGAACAAUCAAGGCAGGUAAUUAUUUUUCCAGCCUUUUCCCCGCCGCUCAUUGGCUCCCCGGCCCCCACGUGAUCGUAUUUACCCAAAAAUACGGCGCGGAUCAAUGCGCAGGAGCUUUUUUUCCCCCUCUUCCCCUGGUUCCCCCCCUUUUUUCCCACCCCCUUCUCUCUCUCCACCGAACCCCGCGACCUGCGUCUGCCAAGGGGGGGUGCGCGACUCUGCACCCCAGGCUCCGGGCACCCCCCUUCUUCCUCCUCACUCCCAGGGCAACUCGAGUCUCCUUAGAGGACCCCCUGGCCCCUGCAACCCCUCUACACACGCGCGCGGGGGUCCCCCAGCCUCCCUGCCUGCCACCCCGAGGACUGCGGCGCCCGGUGACAGGCGUGUGCGCAGCCCCCCGCUCCCCCGCCCUCGCCGGCUCCCGGGCAGCCCGGCACUGGGUGCUGGAGCCCCACAGGGCGGAGAGGCCGCCGAGCUUGAAGAAGUGGAGGAAGAGAGCUACACAACUUAAGUGGGGCGUCCUCAUCCAGUCUUCCUGGUCACCCUCCUUUGCUUCCACCCACGCCCCAGCUCCAUCAUUGUGCCACCAUGAACCCCCC